rnacentral:lncRNA from 1 species
GCUAAUAGUGAUGUCCGGCGGCGCGAGGACAUGGUGAGGCUUCAACGAAUCAUCCAAGGUUCGAUCUCCCCUUUAUCACCCCUGCUAUUCAUAUAAAACAAUUCAACAGAGUUAAGGCGUCAGGUACCAUAGAUCUUCCAUUGAUCAGGGUGAAUUGUUGAUUAUGCUUAUUAUAGGCUUUGAAGGAUUAAAUCUGAGAACAUAAUUCUCGAAACGGGGGAGGUUCAAUUGGUGUUCCUGGAGAUGACAAGAAACAUCAUUCAAGGGAAGGAGGAUUCGUUGUGAGAGAGUCGGAUGCCGGCGCGGAUCCUCUCAAAGGACUCAUUGCAGCACCACAAAGACACAGGCAACGGUGCUACUGCUGAUGGUAGAGAGGAGAUCAAUGGCAAGGGAGGCAAGGGAGAAACUGAGGGUGUGAAUCUGAGUUUAUUCUAGAUGUCUUUUUUUGCUGAUCAACUCCAUCUCAAUCGCCAUCCAUCUUCCUCUAAUUUUUCUUUUGUUUCUGUACAGGUCAAAGAGGGUUUACAACUAAGUAUAAAGCUUCACGAGGACUCAUCUUCUUCGGAUGGAAGAUGAUCAGUUACUGAUAAGUUAUAAAAUUUCUAUAUUUCGGUGAUGGUAUCGACUAGGUGUUCUUUCAGAUUUGCUUCUAUCAUGCGUAUUAAAACACGUUCAGCUUAUGUAGAUGAUGCACGGAUACUGCAGUAAAAGUAAAUACUUUACCUGUAAACUGAACUUUUGAUUUAGUAAUUCUACUUUUGGUCCAACAAUCGAUCAAUUGUUGAGGCUAUACUGAACCAAAAAUUGCUUACUGGGGCAGUACUAUAGUCUCUUGAUUAUGCUCUUAAGUAAAUAUCAUGUCUUCCUCUAAUUAGAAAUUUAGAAAACAAUAGGUUAAUCAGAAGCUUUCUUACAAGAAGAGUGCUCUUCAGAAGCUACUACAUGUAUACGCUCACAUCACAUGCAUGUUUUGUUUUCUUAAUUUUCAGGUGCUUGUGAAUAUCUGCAGAAGUACAGUAGCCUGUAGCUUUGUAGGCGUUGAACUAAAUACCAAUCCAAGUAAGAGCGAAAGGAAGAUAAUAUAGGUUUUGAUCCGCCAAAAGGUCUAUUUAUUCUCAUUUCAGUUAAGACUUACCUCUAAACAUUGCAUGAACUCCUGCACAUAUUGGAUACUUUAUUGAUGCACCUUCUUGCAUUUUAAUUCCAUGUAAGUUGUGUACUCUAUUUAAUAAGUUAUUUGUAUUUUGGCUACAAAUGAUUUUAUUGGAUAUACUGUAGACAUUUUCCGCAAGGACUGUUGCAACUUGCUAGACAUAGGAAAAGAUGGGAGUCAAUCCAAGAUGACAUCAGCAACCAAAGGUGAACAUUUAUAUAAACAAUGGGUUUUCUGAUACAAGAAUAAUCAUGUGUUUUUUCUUUGAAGGUGUUUGAUUUUCUUUCGGUGUGGAAAUUAUUAUGAUGAUCAUUCAUCAUAGAUGGGUAUGUGCUUUUCUUCUGACAAAGAAAUUCAAGUUUGAAUCUUAGAUUUAACAAUUAUUUGACAUGUCAUGAAGUGUGUACUGCAUCACUCACAAAAAGCAUAGCUUCCAUCCAGCGGCUUUGGCCGAGUUAAUCUGUGCAUUGAUGUUUCACCAUUUCCUGAAGUUAUAUAACUAUUGUGGUUUCCUUCAGGUUAAUGCGAUUACUCUAUUAAGUGAAGGUUCGUCGUUUUUCCUUGAUCAAGGCUAUUAAUUUAUAGAUGAGUUUUCGAGUAUACUCAUAGUAGUCCAGUGACGAGUAUAAGUUGAAGCAAGAGUCUAUUACAUAAAAAACAUUUUCAUUUGAAAGUAGCCAUAAGAUAGAAAUGGCUACAUAUAUUGUAUACAUGAAAAUUAAGAUGUAUAUAGCAUGUCCGAGAGGCUAUUUUCCUCUUUUUGGUUAUACUUACUACUGUCCAUUUGAAGACAAAGGAAAACUUCUGCGAAACAACUUUUUUCAGAUUGUUUUAUCAUUUUCAACUCAUGGUUCAAUUAUGUUUACCUUUUGUCACCUUAUAUUUAUGGAAAUUCCUAUCAACAUAUUGCCAAAACAGAUGGGCGCGGCAACGUGCGC